ACAUCAAUGUCAUUUCUGCUACUGAACACAUAAGUUAAUAUUUUCAACUAUAUCCUUCUGAUUUUACCUUCUUCUUUAGUAAGUGAAUUAUAUCUUUGCAAGAAAUUAGCAUAAGUGACAAAGGGAAGGUUUCAUUUCUCACACAUACUUUACCUUCUGUAUGCACUCUUCAGCUUGCUGAGGAGGGUGUCCAAGAUGGCGGCAGCGGGAGGUUUGAGGCUUAAAGCCCACCCCACUUAAAUUGUAUCUAAACAAAUAAAGGCAAGAAGCAUUAUGGCAGUAAGGUUGUGCAGAGGUGGAGAUCUCUCAGGACUAGUGCUGGCAGGGCUCUGCCUCCAUACUGGCCUUCUGAGAAAUGGAGAGGUUGUGCACAUUUGGCACUGAGGCCCAGCCGCAUCCAGCAAGGUUGGACCUGCCUCAGUGAGACUUGUGGUGGGAAGCAGACCUGGUGCUGGCUGCAAUCUGCAAUCAGAGGUCAAUUUUGUUUUCCUGUAUCGUGCCUCCCGGGUGAUGGUUAGCUCAUACCCUUGCAGACCAUGCUUAAAGACUGCAGCACACAAACCUCAGAAAGGCAACCUCAACCAGAUGCAAGCAGUGGACUAGGAUUCUUGAGAGAAGGAAGUGUGACAUGUGAUACUUUUGGAAACACCCAAUGACACGAGUGGUUGACCACGACAGCUGACUCUCCUGUCUUCAGGUCAUCAAUCAGGUGGGAGGGUAUGAAAAAUAUAAGCUUAAUGAAGACUGUAAAACCAAAGAUGACCCCAGCACAGUGUUGCAGUGCUCCAAGAUGUUGAUAAACACUCAGGAGAAGUCAGAGGGCAGAAAGAGAGGACAUAAAUUCAGUUAAGCAAUGCUUGUUCUGACUUCCUGCAUGUCACAUCAUGAGCCAAGGGGCUUCCAAAGGGCGUGCUGUACUUCAGUACUGUCCUGAUGACAUUUCUGGAGCAAACAGAUUGGGGAUCAAAUGCUAAGAGCCAAGAGCUAUCGCCUCUCUGAUAACUAAGGAUUCUUUCUCCUCAGUGUUCAGUAAGCAUUGCUGGUUGGGUGGGAUCCAUCCUGAGAAACAGCUGCAAGGAGAUCUUUG
rnacentral:lncRNA from 1 species